rfam:Coprococcus catus GD/7 draft genome.
UAUUUAUAGGGGCAGAGCUGUCGAAAGGCAGUGACGCAAAGCCAAAGGGACUAAGGUGUUAGAAACUAUGUCAGCCGGUUGCGAUA